rnacentral:tRNA from 1 species
GCGGGCGUCGUAUAAUGGUUAUUACCUUGGCUUCCCAAGCCAAAGAUGAUGGUUCGAUUCCCUUCACCCGCUCCA